GACGAACGCUGGCGGCGUGCUUAACACAUGCAAGUCGAACGGUGAAGCGCCUUCCUUUUUGGUGGGUGUGGAUGAGUGGCGAACGGGUGAGUAACACGUGAGUAACCUGCCCCCUUCUUCUGGAUAACCGCAUGAAAGUGUGGCUAAUACGGGAUAUUCUGGGUCUGUCGCAUGAUGGGUCUGGGAAAGAUAUUGUUUCGGUGGGGGAUGGGCUCGCGGCCUAUCAGCUUGUUGGUGGGGUGAUGGCCUACCAAGGCGGUGACGGGAAGCCGGCCUGAGAGGGUGGACGGUCACACUGGGACUGAGACACGGCCCAGACUCCUACGGGAGGCAGCAGUGGGGAGUAUUGCACAGUGGGGGCAAGCCUGAUGCAGCGACGCCGCGUGAGGGAUGGAGGCCUUCGGGUUGUGAACCUCUUUCGCCAGUGAAGCAGGCCUGCCUCGUUUGUGGGUGGGUUGACGGUAGCUGGAUAAGAAGCGCCGGCUAACUACGUG
rnacentral:rRNA from 1 species